rnacentral:tRNA from 1 species
GCAUUGGUAUUUUAGUGGUAGAAUACUCACCUACAAAUAUUUCGAGUGACCCAGGUUCGACUCCUGGCCGAUGCA